GCGCGUAUCGGUUCGCUCAAAUAAUGCAGCAGAUGCAGUUUGGGGAACAAGAUCCAGCAUCAAACUACUGGAGUACUAAAUUUCAUCAUGCCGGCAUUUAUCACGCAUCGGAAUAGGUUGGAACUGCUGGAGUGCAGCAUAGAAUGUGAACAUUUUGAAUGCCGAAUACAACCAAACCGAGAAAUUCUUUUUUGCGAUGAUGCCCGCUUGAAACGUUUACACUGCGCGAGGAAUACGGGAGGAAUCUAUUGGCGAAAUUUUGCGCAAGGGCAGCAACGAUAUCCGACAUCAGGAUAAUUUUCUGAACAAUCCCGACUCGAAAGUAGUCAUACUUGGCGAGUAUUGCUAUUCGAUGGCCAUGAUUUUCGGAGCUGACUGCUGAUCAAGCCGAAAGGUACCGUUGGUAAAUGUGGGAAAACAAACAACAAAUCGCCACCGUCUUCCGUAGCAAUGCGUGCAACACCCUGAUCGCAACAUCGGCGUAAACGAAGUGGUUCUUUUUUAGCGCUAGGACAUCAGCAAAAACCCUAUCAAACUUGUGCAGUUCAUGCAUAGGAUCGAACGGCAGUGGGCUGAUAUUGGUACCCGAGGGAAAAGAGCACCAUACCCCGAUGUUCUGGCUUCAAAGGAUAAGACGAACCAGUAGUAUAAAAUCAGUUGUGCGAGUUUCUCAAGAAAAGCCCCGCAAUGCGAUUCUGGUCGAUUGUGGUCACUCGGUGUUGCAAGUAUUAGUCUAUUUUCUUAUGAAGAAAAGCUACAGCAGCCUGGCGAAUCACAUCAAAAACGGAUUUCAGAUGAAGUUUUACCGAUCCCUGAUCAAGCAAAUGAUUGAGAGAGCUAAGGUACGGACGAGGUAACGGAUGCCCACCAACAGCAUUAAACUGUUGCUAAACAUGAACAAUUGCUACAUGAACGAAAUUGACGGUCGCUCAACGAUGCAACGUAUCAAUUUGGAAGCGAGUUGUUCUAGCGAGUUAAAGCCACCGUGGAAAAAUCUACUGCCCGAUUCCAGUUUAGCUGACCGAGCCGAUAUCAAGAAAAAAAUCAAUAUACGUUAUCAUGUAUGUUAGUAAUAAAACCCAAAAAUUUAUGAAAAUAAAAUUAAAUAAUUAAAUGGGAACAAAAAAUAAUCAAUUUUGAAUGUGAAGAAUUUGAUUUGGGCGAACUGAAAUUGAAAAGGCACAUGUUAAUUUGAAAAUGACGCAACCUGUUAUUUUGACAAUACUAAUAUAUGAUUUCAAUGUAAAAUAAACAUUUCAUUUUGAGAGGAAAAUUUUGUUUUGAAAGUUUUAGCUCUUGUCAAAGUGCUUUUCGAAGUGACAUUUUUGUUUUGGUAGAUUUAACAGUCCUAUACUUUCUACUGAAAAUCACUAAC